rnacentral:rRNA from 1 species
GACGUAGGGCGCGAGCGUUGUCCGGAUUUAUUGGGCGUAAAGAGCUCGUAGGCGGCUCAUUGCGUCAACCGUGAAAUCCUGCUGCUCAACGGCAGGUCUGCGGUUGAUACGGGUGGGCUGGAGUUCGGUAGGGGAGACUGGAAUUCCUGGUGUAGCGGUGAAAUGCGCAGAUAUCAGGAGGAACACCAACGGCGAAGGCAGCUCGCUGGGACGGUACUGACGCUAAGGCGCGAAAGCGUGGGGAGCGAACAGG